UACGAAGGGGGGCUAGCGUUGCUCGGAAUUACUGGGCGUAAAGCGCACGUAGGCGGAUUGUUAAGUCGGGGGUGAAAUCCUGGAGCUCAACUCCAGAACUGCCUUCGAUACUGGCGAUCUUGAGUCCGGGAGAGGUGAGUGGAACUCCGAGUGUAGAGGUGAAAUUCGUAGAUAUUCGGAAGAACACCAGUGGCGAAGGCGGCUCACUGGCCCGGUACUGACGCUGAGGUGCGAAAGCGUGGGGAGCAAACAGG
rnacentral:rRNA from 1 species